rnacentral:rRNA from 1 species
GAUGAACGCUGGCGGCGUGCCUAAUACAUGCAAGUCGAGCGAACAGACCAGGAGUUUGCUGCUCUAACGGUAGCGUCGGACGGGUGAGUAACAAGUAACAAACCAAUCAACAAGACUGGACUAAGUUAGGGAAACGGGAACCAAGACCGAAUAAUAUAUAGAACCGCAGGGUGCAACAGGGAAUGACGAUCUUGUUGUUAGUGAUAGAGGGUUCCGCGCCGGAUUAGCUAGUUGUUAGGGGAAUAGCUUACUAAGGCAACGAUGCGUAGCCGACCUGGGAGGGGGAUCGUCCACACUGGAACUGGGACUGGGUCCAGACUCCUACGGGAGGCAGCAGUAGGGAAUCUUCCGCAAUGGGCGAAAGCCUGACGGAGCAACGGCGCGUGAGUGAUGAAGGUCUUCGGAUCGUAAAACUCUGUUAUUAGGGAAGAACAAAUGUGUAAGUAACUAUGCACGUCUUGACGGUACCUAAUGAGAAAGCCACGGCUAACUACGUG